rnacentral:rRNA from 1 species
AUUGAACGCUGGCGGCAGGCUUAACACAUGCAAGUCGAGCGGGGUGAUGGUGCUUGCACUAUCACUUAGCGGCGGACGGGUGAGUAAUGCUUAGGAAUCUGCCUAUUAGUGGGGGACAACAUCUCGAAAGGGAUGCUAAUACCGCAUACGUCCUACGGGAGAAAGCAGGGGAUCACUUGUGACCUUGCGCUAAUAGAUGAGCCUAAGUGGGAUUAGCUAGUUGGUGGGGUAAAGGCCUACCAAGGCGACGAUCUGUAGCGGGUCUGAGAGGAUGAUCCGCCACACUGGGACUGAGACACGGCCCAGACUCCUACGGGAGGCAGCAGUGGGGAAUAUUGGACAAUGGGGGGAACCCUGAUCCAGCCAUGCCGCGUGUGUGAGGAAGGCCUUAUGGUUGUAAAGCACUUUAAGCGAGGAGGAGGCUCUUUUGGUUAAUACCCAAGAUGAGUGGACGUUACUCGCAGAAUAAGCACCGGCUAACUCUGUGCCAGCAGCCGCCGCAG